rnacentral:rRNA from 1 species
UACGUAGGGGGCAAGCGUUGUCCGGAUUUAUUGGGCGGAAAGAGCGUGUAGGCGGUUUGGUAGGUCCGCUGUGAAAACUCGAGGCUCAACCUCGAGACGCCGGUGGAAACCAUCAGACUAGAGUCCGGAAGAGGAGAGUGGAAUUCCUGGUGUAGCGGUGAAAUGCGCAGAUAUCAGGAGGAACACCGAUGGCGAAGGCAGCUCGCUGGGACGGUACUGACGCUGAGACGCGAAAGCGUGGGGAGCAAACAGG